rnacentral:hammerhead_ribozyme from 1 species
GUUGACGAGUCCUAAAUAGGACGAAACGCGCGUCAAAC